rnacentral:rRNA from 1 species
AUUGAACGCUGGCGGCAGGCCUAACACAUGCAAGUCGAACGAGUGGCGGACGGGUGAGUAAUGUCUGGGAAACUGCCCGAUGGCGGGGGAUAACUACUGGAAACGGUAGCUAAUACCGCAUACCAUCGGAUGUGCCCAGAUGGGAUUAACUAGUAGUUGGGGUAAUGGCUCACCUAGGCGACGAUCCCUAGCUGGUCUGCGAGGAUGACCAUCCACACUGGAAGUGAGAAACGGUCCAGACUCAUACGGAAGGCAGCAGUGGUGAAUAUUGCACAAUGGGCGCAAGCCGGAUGCAGCCAUGCCGCGUGUAUGAAGAAGGCCUUAGGGUUGUAAAGUACUUUCAGGGAGGAGACGUUACUCGCAGAAGAAGCACCGGCUAACUCCGUGCCAGCAGCCGCGGUAUA